AUUGCUUUCCAUUUUAAAACGUGCUAUUUCAUCUUAAACUGGAGAAAAUUAGAUUUGUGAUGAAGGGUUCUGGAGAGAAGUUC